CACUCCUACGGGAGGCAGCAGUGGGGAAUAUUGCACAAUGGGGGAAACCCUGAUGCAGCCAUGCCGCGUGUGUGAAGAAGGCCUUCGGGUUGUAAAGCACUUUCAGUAGGGAGGAAGGUAGUGUAGUUAACACCUGCAUUAUUUGACGUUACCUACAGAAGAAGCACCGGCUAACUCCGUGCCAGCAGCCGCGGUAAUACGGAGGGUGCGAGCGUUAAUCGGAAUUACUGGGCGUAAAGCGCAUGCAGGCGGCCUGUUAAGUCAGAUGUGAAAGCCCGGGGCUUAACCUCGGAAUUGCAUUUGAAACUGGCAGGCUAGAGUCUUGUAGAGGGGGUAGAAUUUCAGGUGUAGCGGUGAAAUGCGUAGAGAUCUGAAGGAAUACCAGUGGCGAAGGCGGCCCCCUGGACAAAGACUGACGCUCAGAUGCGAAAGCGUGGGGAGCAAACAGGAUUAGAUACCCUGGUAG
rnacentral:rRNA from 1 species